rfam:Suillus luteus TH-Slu-Lm8-n1 unplaced genomic scaffold CY34scaffold_219, whole genome shotgun sequence.
GCCCUUGUUGUCUAAUGGUUAUGACGUCAGACUUCUACGACUGAAGCGCAUCUGGAGGUUGCGGGUUCGAGUCCCGCCAGGGGUU